ACAGUUCACAGACUAACUGGAGGCGGUUCCUUUGACCUAAAUUAUAGUCGGUCACCCUCUGAAAAGAGGAAUGAGAAAUGUUGUACACACCGCCCGUCGCUACUACCGAUUGAAUGGCUCAGUGAGGCUUUCGGACUGGCUCAGGGAGGUUGGCAACGACCACCCAGAGCCGGAAAGUUGUUCAAACUUGGUCAUUUAGAGGAAGUAAAAGUCGUAACAAGG
rnacentral:rRNA from 1 species